UACGGAGGGUGCGAGCGUUGUCCGGAAUCACUGGGCGUAAAGAGCGCGCAGGCGGUCGUCCAAGUCGCGUGUGAAAGCCCCCGGCUCAACUGGGGAGGGUCACGCGAUACUGGUCGACUCGAAGGCAGGAGAGGGUAGUGGAAUUCCCGGUGUAGUGGUGAAAUGCGUAGAUAUCUGGAGGAACACCGGUGGCGAAGGCGACAUCCUGGACCGGUAUUGACGCUGAGGCGCGAAAGCCAGGGGAGCAAACGGG
rnacentral:rRNA from 1 species